UACGAAGGGGGCUAGCGUUGCUCGGAAUGACUGGGCGUAAAGGGCGCGUAGGCGGCCUGAUAAGUAGGGGGUGAAAUCUUGCGGCUCAACCGCAAGGCUGCCUUCUAAACUGUCAGGCUGGAGCACGGUAGAGGCAGAUGGAAUUCCCGGUGUAGCGGUGGAAUGCGUAGAGAUCGGGAAGAACACCAGUGGCGAAGGCGGUCUGCUGGGCCGUUGCUGACGCUGAGGCGCGACAGCGUGGGGAGCAAACAGG
rnacentral:rRNA from 1 species